GGUUCCCUGAAAAAGAAGAGUGGAAAAUUACUGCAUGACGAGGAAAAAUACUGAGUUGAGGUUUUGGGUAUAAAUAGAGCUUCAUCAGUCGACAGUGUACACUCUUUAACUUAAAAAGUCGAGGACAACUAUAUAAAAGCGAUUUAUUUUUAUCAUCUGACUGAAGCAUUUUUAUCACGAUGGAUCGUCAAGGCAAAGCUAACAACGACAACAAGUCUAACCAAUGCAACCCAAACAACGAUAGAUACUCAGGGUAUUCCAGCUCAUACAGUGGAACUGCUACCAGACCAGAUCUUAACAACCAUUCAAAUCAAAUGAACCCCAACAAUUCAAAUUACCAGGGAAAGAAAUAAAUCAACAUGAUGGACAAAUAUUAACCGAGGACUUCAUAUUGCUAUAAUUGUAUAUUCCGAAUCUUUUUCAUUUAACGUUUAACUUGUUAAAUAAAUCGUUAUAUAACAGAGUGGGGCAAGACGGGACACCUUUAGCACAUAAUGUCCAACGACCUAUGGUAGUCGUGAUGAUUCGAAAUUCUUUGAAUGUUAUUUGUUUACUACUAAAUUGAACGAGAUAAUAGAAAAAACGUGUCCCAUCUUCCCCCACCCUACUAUAAUACAAUAGAUUACAGUAUAGUAUAACACAAUUCUUCAUAAUUGAAUAACAGUAUUUUCUUUUUUAAAUACAACACAGCCUUUAUGAUUUAAUUCCUGGUGAACUGUUUGUAUAGCAUGUGAAAUAAAGUCUUUGGUUUAAAC